GACUUAAAUAAUUUGAGCGACCGUGAGGGUUCAA
rnacentral:tRNA from 19 species